GAUGAACGCUGGCGGCGUGCCUAAUACAUGCAAGUCGAGCGAACAGACGAGGAGCUUGCUCCUCUGAUGUUAGCGGCGGACGGGUGAGUAACACGUGGAUAACCUACCUAUAAGACUGGGAUAACUUCGGGAAACCGGAGCUAAUACCGGAUAAUAUGUUGAACCGCAUGGUUCAACAGUGAAAGACGGUCUUGCUGUCACUUAUAGAUGGAUCCGCGCUGCAUUAGCUAGUUGGUAAGGUAACGGCUUACCAAGGCAACGAUGCGUAGCCGACCUGAGAGGGUGAGGGGCCACACUGGAACUGAGACACGGUCCAGACCCCUACGGGAGGCAGCAGUGGGGAAUCUUCCACAAUGGGCGAAAGCCUGACGGAGCAACGCCGCGUGAGUGAGGAAGGUCUUCGGAUCGUAAACCUCUGUUAUUGGGGAAGAACAGAUGUGUAAGUAACUAUGCACUUCUUGACGGUACCUAAUCAGAAAGCCACGGCUAACUACGUG
rnacentral:rRNA from 1 species